CCUAAACCGGGCCAGAGGAGUGUUGUCUGGUGACAGCCUGGCAGGCGGGCGGGAACGCCUGCCAGUGCUGGUGCGGCCCCCAGGGGCGGGGGCCGCAUGGGAGACCACAGGGGGUGCUCCAGGGGAGGUAGGCCAAGGGGGGUGCCCACACCGGCAGCCAUACCUCCACUAAUGCUCUGAAAUUGCUCCCUUAGUUGCCGGCCACCGUCCAGCGCAGCAGCAGCCCUGAGGGACGCCAGGAUCUCCUCAACAUCCAUCACCUCAAGCUGUGUCAAUCUGCAGGCCCAGGCAAACUGGAGCAGGAGGACAGGAAGUUGUUUGCUGGCCCGUAUCCCAAGUGGCACUGAGGUAAGACCUCCCACACACACUUCCCAAGUCACUCCCCUGCAUCUAUCCCCACACUCCUACAUGUGCCCUUGUCCGCUUAGCUGCGCUAUCUCCCCAGGGCCUGUUUCAACAUUACAUUAUUACGGUCUGAAUGGCCCGUACCAAAUGGGGCAAAAGCAUUUACUGCAACACUGGGUCAUUUGGACUACAAAUUCCGUAUAUUGUGCACUCUAUGUAACAAUGUUUGGAUUUUACAGAGCAGGCUCAGAAUGAGCCUGGAUUUGAAACAGAUUUAAUCGAAACUUAAAAUCAGGGCUUAGAUUUAUGAAAAUGUUUUAAUUAUAUUACAACUGGCAGUGCUAAGUGGUUAUACAUUUACAUUUUUUUAAACUAUGUUAUGUUAAAAUGGUUAAAGGACCACUAUAGGCACCCAGACCACUUCAACUUAAUGAAGUGGUCUGGGUGCCAGGUCCACCUAGGAUUAACCCUUUCUGCUGUAAACAUAGCAGUUUCAGAGAAACUGCUAUGUUUACUUUAGGGUUAAUCCAGCCUCUAGUGGCUGUCUCAUUGACAGCCGCUAGAGGCGCUUCCGCGCUUCUCACUGUGAUUUCACAGUGAGAAGAUGCCAGCGUCUAUAGGGGAGCCGCGCAUGCGCAUUCAGCCGAUGACGGGGAAAGGAGGAGGAGAGUUUCCAGCACCGAAGGAGCCCGGCGCUGGAGAAAGGUAAGUGUUUAACCCUUUCCUCUCCAUCCAGCCCGGCGGGAGUGGGACCCUGAGUAUGGUUUCCUGGCACUAUAGUGGUCCUUUAACCCCUUAACGCCGUUACGGCGUUCUAUGCUGUCGCGGCUUUAAAGGGCUGAACUCAAAUAUUAGUGUUUCAAACUGGUAAAUUGUAUUACAACGAUGAUAUUUUAAGUAAGAGUGACGUUUUUUGCAUUUUUUUUACAAACAAACGGCACCUUUAUGGACUAUAUUAUUGUUGUAAUAUGUUUUACUGUUUUAAAACACUAAUAUUUGUGUUUAGUGAAGUCUCCCGAGAAUAACAAUACCCCCCAUGUACAGGUUUUAUUGUGUUUUGGAAAGUUAGAGUGUCACAUUUAAGGCUUGCAUUUCAUUUUUUUGACACUGAAAUUUGCCAGAUUGGUUAUGUUGCCUUUGAGAGCGUAUGGUAGCCCAGGAAUAAGAAUUACCCCCAUGAUGGCAUACCAUUUGCAAAAUUAGACAACCCAAGGUAUUGCAAAUGGGGUAUGUCCAGUCAUUUUUAGUAGCCACUUAGUCACAAACACUGGCCAAAUAUUAGUUUUUUGCUUUUUUCACACAAAAACAAAUAUGGACGCUAACUUUGGACAGUGUUUGUGACUAAGUGGCUGCUAAAAAAGACUAAACACUACUUUUUCAAAUGGUAUGCCAUUAUAGGGGUAAUUCUCAUUCCUGGGCUACCACACCGUCUCAAAGGUAACAUUACUAAUCUGGCAAAUUUCAAAUUGAAAAUGAACAUUCUAUGUUUGACCCUGUAACUUUCCAAAACACCAUAAAACCUGUUAAUGGGGGGUACUGUUGUACUCGUGAGACAUCGCUGAUUACAAAUAUGUGCAUUUUUUUGCAGUAAUACCUAACAGUAUUAUGACAUUAACAGCUAAAAUGUCAGACGGAAAUACAAAUUUAAAAAAAAUCUUAUUUUCUAAAAAAAAUAAUAAUUUUAUUCAUAAUAAAUGAUGUUCCAUAUAUGAAUAAUUAAUGAUAAAUUAAAGCCCUGUUUCUCCUGAACAAAAUUAUGUAUAAUAAGUGUGGGUGCACUUAAUGUGACAGCGGUGAAUUACGGGUGAACAGACAUAUAGAGCAAAUUCCUGUUUUUGUUUACGUUUUGUUUUGAUCAGAACGUGUACUAUUGACUCCGUCCUGAAGGGGUUAAUAUAAAAUAGGGUUUUUUAAUUAUUUGCCUGCAGACUGCUGGCACCAACAAUGGGCAAAUAGUGCUUCUAAUUUUAAUCCACAAAUGUUAAAACAUCGCUAAUGACAGUUGUGUUCUCAAAUACCAUCAGGAUGACUAAAUGGUAGUUAAGAUGAAUCUAGAAUUAGAUAUGACAUUAUAUGAUAAUUGUGAACUUAAGUGGGCUUAACGGGUACCUAGGAAACAUUGAUCAUUGAUAAAACUCAUGAUGAAAUAACUUAGCUUCAUACUCAAACUCAGCGUUGUCUAGUUUUAACCUAAUCCUUCCUUUAUUCUGCAUUUACUAUUAAUUGCUUUUAUUCUGCUGCUAUCAUUUGAAAAUUAUACUAUAAAAAAAAUCUAUAAACAACUUUGCAUGAAAGCUGAAACAAUUACAAGAAUUAAAAUUCCUAACUAUUGUAUGUGACCCAAUAUUUUUUGUCAGUUUCAUUUUAUGCACCUUACAAUAUACACAGAGUUACUAUCAUUUUUUAAUAAUAGAAAUACUCUAAGUGAAUGUAUGGAAUAAAGUAACACAGAGUAGCUAAGGUAGCUGGACUUUUAAAUUCAUUAUUUAUAACAUACUUGCAUUUGGAUACUUUUAAUAACUGAGAAUUCUUUAUAAAUGACUCUUGUAAAAUAAAAUUUCUAAACCAGUUUAAAUAAUUAGCUAUAUGUUAUCAAUAACUUAUCUAAAAAAAAAUGUUUUUUUUACAGAGAACGACAAUCUGUUUCUUACUUGGUAAAGGUAUAGCAUAAUAAAUAAUAAUAAAUAAUGCCAAAUUUGAUAGCUUCUUUUUGUUACUAAAUUGCCUGAAUUUUCCUUUUUGUUCAGCUUAUGACUAAAGACAUCUAGGCAGCACAUAAGUGGCUUUAAAUCAUGUUGUUUCACAUCAUCACAACAGGAAAUGUAACCUUUUGUACUUACACUACCAUGAUGGCUGCAGGCCAAUAAGUAAUAGAACACCUAUAAUCAGAAGCUGUUUUGACCAAACUGUUUGAUGCUGUUUUAAUAAGAUUUCAAAAAACAAAACAAGUACAGUUUAGUGUAUUGUGUACAUUCCCUAUUGUUUCAGAAGGUCCAAAGAGAAAUACGUGAUUUUUAUGGAGCACGGUGCAAGCACAUAAUUAGAUACGAUCUUUCUGCCGAGCACUGUCUGUCCCGCUGGAGUUGAUUGCAGGUUUAACACACCUCCAGAGGCUGCCAUCUGAUUGGCACAGAGUGUUUUUUGGCUGUGCAUGCGCACUAGACUCCCAAUGCUGUCCAAUGGGAAAGCUUUGCAUUGAUAUCAUUAAUCUUGAUGAUCUCAGCAUAAGAGGUGGAACAGAAAACCAAAGAUCAGCCAUGCAAGAGAGAAAAGGUAAAGUGAUAUCACUUAUAAUCCUUGCAGCCGGGCCAAGUCACCUAAAUGGUAACCAGGGCACUAUAGCGUUAGGAAUACACAGCUGUGUUUCUAACACUAUAGUGUUCCCGUAAGUGAAUUGUUCUUCAGCUGUGCUGCAAAAUUAACAGUGUGCGAAAUCCUCUUGGAAUGAAUGAAUGAUGCUGUAAUGUGCAAUAUUGUCAUUCAUUCACUUACAGGUCCAACAGAAUGUAAUAAGGAAUGUAAAGUAUUGUGUAUUUUGUAAAGUAUUGUGUAUUGUGUUCUCAGCAAUUAAUGUUAAUGUUUUACUUGCAAU